rnacentral:rRNA from 1 species
CCUACGGGAGGCAGCAGUGGGGAAUAUUGCACAAUGGGGGAAACCCUGAUGCAGCGACGCCGCGUGAGCGAUGAAGUAUUUCGGUAUGUAAAGCUCUAUCAGCAGGGAAGAAAAUGACGGUACCUGACUAAGAAGCCCCGGCUAACUACGUGCCAGCAGCCGCGGUAAUACGUAGGGGGCAAGCGUUAUCCGGAUUUACUGGGUGUAAAGGGAGCGUAGACGGAUGGACAAGUCUGAUGUGAAAGGCUGGGGCUCAACCCCGGGACUGCAUUGGAAACUGCCCGUCUUGAGUGCCGGAGAGGUAAGCGGAAUUCCUAGUGUAGCGGUGAAAUGCGUAGAUAUUAGGAGGAACACCAGUGGCGAAGGCGGCUUACUGGACGGUAACUGACGUUGAGGCUCGAAAGCGUGGGGAGCAAACAGGAUUAGAUACCCCGGUAGUC